GCCGAUGGCGACCGGCGCACGGGUGAGUAACACGUAUCCAACCUGCCGUCUACUCUUGGACAGCCUUCUGAAAGGAAGAUUAAUACAAGAUGGCAUCAUGAGUCCGCAUGUUCACAUGAUUAAAGGUAUUCCGGUAGACGAUGGGGAUGCGUUCCAUUAGAUAGUAGGCGGGGUAACGGCCCACCUAGUCUUCGAUGGAUAGGGGUUCUGAGAGGAAGGUCCCCCACAUUGGAACUGAGACACGGUCCAAACUCCUACGGGAGGCAGCAGUGAGGAAUAUUGGUCAAUGGGCGAGAGCCUGAACCAGCCAAGUAGCGUGAAGGAUGACUGCCCUAUGGGUUGUAAACUUCUUUUAUAAAGGAAUAAAGUCGGGUAUGGAUACCCGUUUGCAUGUACUUUAUGAAUAAGGAUCGGCUAACUCCGUGCCAGCAGCCGCGGUAAUACGGAGGAUCCGAGCGUUAUCCGGAUUUAUUGGGUUUAAAGGGAGCGUAGAUGGAUGUUUAAGUCAGUUGUGAAAGUUUGCGGCUCAACCGUAAAAUUGCAGUUGAUACUGGAUAUCUUGAGUGCAGUUGAGGCAGGCGGAAUUCGUGGUGUAGCGGUGAAAUGCUUAGAUAUCACGAAGAACUCCGAUUGCGAAGGCAGCCUGCUAAGCUGCAACUGACAUUGAGGCUCGAAAGUGUGGGUAUCAAACAGGAUUAGAUACCCUGGUAGUCCACACGGUAAACGAUGAAUACUCGCUGUUUGCGAUAUACUGCAAGCGGCCAAGCGAAAGCGUUAAGUAU
rnacentral:rRNA from 1 species